rnacentral:rRNA from 1 species
GUGGACGCCAGUCUGCGUGGAGCCGACCUUGAAAUACCACCCUUUAAUGUUUGAUGUUCUAACGUGGACCCGUAAUCCGGGUUGCGGACAGUGUCUGGUGGGUAGUUUGACUGGGGCGGUCUCCUCCUAAAGAGUAACGGAGGAGCACGAAGGUUGGCUAAUCCUGGUCGGACAUCAGGAGGUUAGUGCAAUGGCAUAAGCCAGCUUGACUGCGAGCGUGACGGCGCGAGCAGGUGCGAAAGCAGGUCAUAGUGAUCCGGUGGUUCUGAAUGGAAGGGCCAUCGCUCAACGGAUAAAAGGUACUCCGGGGAUAACAGGCUGAUACCGCCCAAGAGUUCAUAUCGACGGCGGUGUUUGGCACCUCGAUGUCGGCUCAUCACAUCCUGGGGCUGAAGUAGGUCCCAAGGGUAUGGCUGUUCGCCAUUUAAAGUGGUACGCGAGCUGGGUUUAGAACGUCGUGAGACAGUUCGGUCCCUAUCUGCCGUGGGCGCUGGAGAACUGAGGGGGGCUGCUCCUAGUACGAGAGGACCGGAGUGGACGCAUCACUGGUGUUCGGGUUGUCAUGCCAAUGGCACUGCCCGGUAGCUAAAUGCGGAAGAGAUAAGUGCUGAAAGCAUCUAAGCACGAAACUUGCCCCGAGAUGAGUUCUCCCUGAGACUUAGAGUCUCCUGAAGGAACGUUGAAGACGACGACGUUGAUAGGCCGGGUGUGUAAGCGCAGCGAUGCGUUGAGCUAACCGGUACUAAUGAACCG